ensembl:lncRNA
GGGGGGGAGUCCACGUCGACACAAAGUCGAAAUGAGAGUCCUGCGGGACCCUGAAGGCGCCGUGUCAGCAGGAAUGAAAUAUGGCUUUUAAAGAAUAACAGGUCUAGUUUUGUAGCUUCUCUUCGGCAGGUACGGGAUCAGAGCGGUGUCCAUGACGACGGAGACAACAGAGCGUAGAAUGCCGUCAUUGACGAAUCGCGAUCGAGUAUUCAGCGAUGACGUUCCUUUCCGAAAGCUGCGUUAGUCGCGCUCCUUCUUCGCAAAGUUGACACUAAAUCCUCUGAAGGCAGAAAGACGCUCGGCCACCGGCGCCUUUUCAGGCUGUCGCUGAUUUUUGUCUGGAAACUUGAGAUCUUGAGUGGUGGUUCAAGUCUCAAGGACGUCAAGUGUAACAGCAUUAAAGUCCAAAGUGUGCGAGUGUGACGUCCAUCUGGUCCGGUUGUCUGGAAGGUGCACACUGAAAGACACACACUGCAGGUCUGCACACACACACACACACACACACUGCAGGUCUCUGUACACACACACACACACACACACACACACACACACACACACACACACACACACUGCAUGUCUCUGCACACACACACUGCAGGUCUCUGUACACACACACACACACACACACGCACACACACACGCACACUGCAGGUCUCUGUACACACACACACACACAUGUCAAAGACAAAAUAACUUGCACAUAAAAUGAAAAUGGGGGGGGGGCAACACAUGGACGCCUCAGAAAAGAAUUACUCUGCUUUGAUUUUUUGGGGGAGGCUUUAUUGCGCAAUACGGAGAGAUUAAAGCAAACACGGCUCCGCGUUCACUUUGGGCCGAUCUUGGGGGGUUUCGCCGCCUCGAGAACAAACAGCGAGAAUCUCAGCGAAGCAAGAAGACGCCAAUUAAAUACUGCUAGUGAGAUAAAGACAGACGGAGAGACGGAGAGAGAGACAGACAGAGAGACGGAGAGAGAGACAGACAGAGAGACAGACAGACAGAGAGAGAGACGGAGAGAGAGACAGAGAGACAGACAGAGAGAGAGACAGAGAGAGAGACAGACAGAGAGACGGAGAGAGAGACAGACAGAGAGACAGACAGACAGAGAGAGAGACAGACAGAGAGACGGAGAGAGAGACAGACAGAGAGACAGACAGACAGAGAGAGAGACAGAGAGCCACAUACACAAUAAAUGUUCCUUUUGAAGUGAUGAACGCACAGAAAAGCAAGCGGCUCUAAUUCAGUCGUAUCAGCAUGGAAAAUGAAGCAGGGAACUAUUGAGGAGCCGGUGAGCAGCUGAACGUUGUCUUUCCUGUUUUGUUUUAUUUGGGGGGGGGGGGGUUGGUCCUUCCACGCCGCUCUGGCAUGACGCCCAAAACCAGAAACACAGCAGGGCGGCGCGUCCUACCUGUGGGCGGAGCGGUGGGCAGCCUGGCGGGGGCCACGCAGAGAGGAAGCAGGAAGCAGAGCCACAGCGAGCGCCACGGCGCCGUCAUCCCUCUGGGCGGGCGGGGGCGGAUGAUGCAGAGCAGCGAGGCCCGAGCCGGACUCAGACCGCCUCCUCCGCCGGCAUGCUGGGGGCCUCCGACGCCUCGCCGUCACCCACCUGGCCCCCGGAAAACAAACCACACACACACGUGAGCAGGACACUGAGCGGGCGGGAGGAACGCGCCAUCACCUCGGGAACUGAAUAUGAACCAGUGGACCAGUGGACCAGUGGACUGGUGGCCUGGUGGACCAGUGGACUGGUGGCCUGGUGGACCAGUGGACUGGUGGACUAGUGGACUAGUGGACUGCCAGCUGGACGCCGCGGGGGGAAACGUCGCAAAUUCCACACAGAUUUCAAAGAUUGCUGAUGGAGGAACGGCUCAGAGAAACCUCAGCCUGACGAGGACCAACACAAAUCACCAGUGGCCCAACGGGCCCGGCGGCCCGCAGGAGGAAGAGGAGGAGGAGGAGGAAGAGGAGGGAGGUGACGGCUGCACGGCGAGUGGCGGCGGAGUGCUCCGCUCUCUGUUUGCUUAGGGAGGGAGAAGCUGGAAUGCACUGAGGUUUGAGGAGAAAGCUGUGAGCGACGUGCCCAGAAAAGCACCCCCCCCCCCUCUACACACACCCCCUUCACACACACACACACACACACACACACACACACACACACACACACACACACGCACAACACCAACUGUUAGCUUAAACUUUAGGGGCUCUGUCCAGCUUUGGAAUAGCCUUGGCUGUGAGACCCCGACAAAAACACGCGCAGGCGAGUGGGCUUCUGCACACAGAGGUGUAUUGUGCGCACUCACACACACACACACACACACACACAGUCCAGAGAGCGUGUGUGUGUCUUUUCUUGUGACCCACUCAUUGCUCAGCACUAACUGAAGCCGACUCGGCGAGACUGUGUUUGCACAUUAUCGCUCUCCAACACGUAUCUCAGGUGUGUGUGACACACACACACACACACACACACACACACACACACACACACAGACACGCGUGACUUGAUAAAGCGGGGGGAGUGUAAUCUAAGCACUUCCCUGUGGGUCUCUCUGACUCUGUGUUUUCUGGCAGCUUUCUGCAGCCACUUCACUUGGAGAGCCGACUCUUGGGUUCGUGUCAGCGUGCAGAUCUGUUUAGACAAGACGACUGGAAAAACCACGCCGGCUUUUGGAUGGACGUCUGGUGACAGGUAGCAGUCGGGACUACUUUGGGUACAAAGUGAACCCUCGGAUUGGAGGAGCAGCGCGGAGGUGGAACCAGUUUAAAACCCCUGCGAUUAAUAGAUGAGGAAGGGACCUUAUAUGCUCGGUGUUGUCGGCAUGUAACGAGCAAUGACACUCGGCUGAGACGGUUUUACACUCUGAUUUCAGGCCCACGCAGCGGAGGAGGGGGGGCGCGGAUCCUAAAAGACACGACCCCGCAGGUCAAAGCCUUACGACUGCUUUUCACGCUGAUAUAUAUAAUAUAUAUAUACUUAAAGCAUGAAAGGGAAACACAGCCAGUAAAUAAAACAUGAACAUAAUCAUGCAGAACUGUCCUCUCGCUGUAAAAACUCGGGGGCGGAAAACAAAGAGAUUAAACCGGGGUUCAUAUCCCUGUCGCCCCCCCCCCCUCAGUGGGCGGCGAGUCACAUGCUGGUCACCCCUCUCCCGCAGUGCUAAUCUU